GAUGAACGCUGGCGGCGUGCCUAAUACAUGCAAGUCGAGCGAACAGACGAGGAGCUUGCUCCUCUGACGUUAGCGGCGGACGGGUGAGUAACACGUGGAUAACCUACCUAUAAGACUGGGAUAACUUCGGGAAACCGGAGCUAAUACCGGAUAAUCUAUUGAACCGCAUGGUUCAAUAGUGAAAGACGGUUUUGCUGUAACUUAUAGCUGGAUCCGCGCCGCAUUAGCUAGUUGGUAAGGUAACGGCUUACCAAGGCAACGAUGCGUAGCCGACCUGAGAGGGUGAUCGGCCACACUGGAACUGAGACACGGUCCAGACGCCUACGAGAGGCAGCAGUAGGGAAUCUUCCGCAAUGGGCGAAAACUUGACGGAGCAACGCCGCGUGAGUGAUGAAGGUCUUCGGAUCGUAAAACUCUGUUAUUAGGGAAGAACAAAUGUGUAAGUAACUAUGCACGUCUUGACGGUACCUAGUCAGAAAGCCACGGCUAACUACGUG
rnacentral:rRNA from 1 species